GUCUGAGCACCAUUGGUGUAGUAGACAGAUACUGUUGCACAAGGCAGUGUUGUUCUGUAUCAGAGCUGUCCAGCUUCUAAGCAACUGGGAGCGCCAUACUCACUGUGGACCACACCAGCAAGGGUCCCCCUGGACUGCACACUGCAUAGGCACCACCCCCUAUACUGCACUGUGUAUGUAUAUGCUCUGGCCUCACUCUCAGCAUGUGUAUGCUCUGGCCAUAUGCUGUACCAUGCCACCCCAUCCCCUGAGGUAGGGGAAUGUAACAACUAGAGGAGAGAGGAGGAACCUGGAGCCCCUGAUUAGUGCUGCAGCCAGACUGACGGCAGCAGCAGCUUGGUGGUGACAAGGUAGGAGCCCGGAGGUCACAAAUUAAGCCCUUGCAGGCUGCAUGCACCUCACCAGCUAGACAGCUCUGUUCUAGAUCAUGCAAAAAACUGGCUGGAGACACCAGUAGAGAAUCACAUUACAUUUUUGUGGACAUUUGAAGUCUGUUUUAGAUUGGCUAAGCUGAAGUACUGAAGAGAAGGACCAGUUGGCUGAAUAUGAGCCAAUACUGUACUCUUGUUGCAAAAAAAUGUCAACAAUAUACUGGGUUGUAUUAGCAGGAGUGUCACUUGCAAAUCAAAGGAAGGGAUUAUUUUGCUCUGUUCAGCACUGGUGAGGCAUCAUCUGGAGUACUGUGUCCAGUUUUGGGCCCCACACUUCAAGAAAGAUGCAGACAGAUUGGAAAGAGUCUGGUAGAGGGCAAGAAAAAUUAUUAGAGGCUUGGGAAGCAAGACUUCUAACAACAGAGUGAAAGAGCUGUGGUUAUUUAGUCUGGAGAAGAUAAGACUGAGAAGGGAUUUAAUAGUGGUCUUCAAAUACCUGGGGUAAUUACAGAGAGAAUGGAGAUGAAUGAGAUUUUCUCUGUGACCAGAGGUGACAGGACUAGGAGCAAUGGAUUCAAACUUCAGUGGAAGAAAUUUAGGUUAGAGAUUAAGAGGAGCUUUUUGACCAUGAGGGAGGUCAAGCAUUGGAAUAGGCCGCCUAGUGAAGUUGUGGAAUCUCCAUCCCUGGAAAUUUUCAAGAGCAAGUUGGACAGAGACUUGGCUGGGAUGGUUUAGUCGGGGAUGAUUCUGCCUCGAGCAGAGGGCUGGACUACAUGAUAUUGUGAAGUCCCUUUCAUUUUCUGUUAUCCUAAAUCUUAUGCAAAUUAGAUUGCUCUGAGUAAAAUGUUGUCAAAUAACUACUGUAGCCAUGGAAACCCUAAAAAUAUAUCUUUUUUCUUAAGGAAGAAAGGAAUAUCAGCUGUUAAAAUUUAUUCUAAGUUCAAAUACCUUUAGUUGGGACAGUUUACUUUAAAUAGUUAAGGGAUAAUUACUUUAAAUUUGGGUUUAUUGAUUUUUCUGUAUUCUAAAUAGGUGACUUUCCCAACUGGACUGUAUAGCAUCAAACCUCUAUCCAUUCUUGAGGUGUGACUUUUUUUUUUUUUCCCACUAAUAGUAAAACAAAAAAACCCAAUUUAGGCCUCAUGCCAGAUUAGGUUGUUCCUGGGGAUCCUAGUGUAGUGAUCAUAAGAUUCAGUAUGAUUACUAUGCAUAUAGGUCAGUACUACCCAGUCUUCUCUGUUUCAGACCACAAAUGCAGUCCUGUUAAGGCUUUUAUUCCAUCCAGGCUCAAACAACAUGGCAGAUGAUACCAUCCAGAGCCACUACUUGCACUAUCUCCAGGAAAAAAAACAAUAACUUCUUCCAGCCCUGGUUCAAGAUGUGGUUUGGCAUCCCAAUGCAGAUGUCAAAAAUGUUUUGAUACCACAUUAAAGAAAUAAUGAUUCUACUUCUAAUACCAAAGCUUAGAUAUCCUAUCUUAUUUCAUCUUCUUGCAUGUGAUAUUUUUGUCACAACAACUUUAUUAAACUGUUUAAAUUAUGUAAAACAGAGAUUUUUGAGGAAGGAAUUAGAUAUCUGGUUUCCCCACAUUACCUGUAAAAAUAUACUGAAACCCCAAGCUUUCAAAAAAGAUUCCAGGAAAAUGACUGGCAAGGAAUACUAGGUGUACAAAGCUCUUAUCUGGAGAAUCGUAGAAAUAAGGAGCUGGAAGAGACCUCAGGAGGUCACUUAGUCCAAUCACUGCUCAGUGUGGGAACAUCUCAUUCUAAACCAUCCCAGACAAAUAUUUAUCUAACCUUCACUUGAAAACCUCCCAUGAUGGAGAUUCCACAGCCUCUGCAGAUAAUCUGUUCCAGUUUUUAGUCACCCUCAUAUUUGGACAGUUCUUUUUAAUAUCCAAUCUAAAGUUCCCUUAUUGCAAUUUAUGGCAUUUACUACUUGUUUUGUCUUUCAUGGAUUCAGAGAAUAGUUGAUUGCCAUCCUCUUUGAAACAACCCCUUUUGUAUUUGAAGACUGUUCUCCCUCAGCUUUCUCUUCUCUAAGCUAAAUAACUGCACUUCAUCCAACCUUUCCCUGUACAUCAUGCUUUCUACACUUCUGAUACCUGUUGUUGCUGUCUUCUGCACUUCUUAAAAUUUGUUCACAUCGUUCUUGAAGUGCAGUGCCCAAAACUGACAUAGUAAGACUUCCCAAUGCUGAACAGAGUACAAGAUUCGCUUCUCCAGACAAGCAUGUGUAACUCCUAGGAUGCUGUUAGCUUUUUUCCAGUAAUACUACGUUGUUGACAUCUACUCAACUUACAGUUUCCUGUAAACCAUAGGUCCUUUUUUGCAGUAGUGCAGUAGCCAGUCAUUCACCAAUUUUUAUUUGUGCCUUUGAUUGUUCAGUUCUAAGUAUAGUACUCUGCACUUGCCCUUAUUUAAUUUUAUCAAAUUUAUAUCAGAUCACUUCUCUAAAUUAUCAAGGUAAUUUUGAAACCUAAUCCUAUCAAGUGUCUGCUGCCCCAUCCAGUUUGGUAUCAUGUUCAAAUGUGCUAAUUAGAUUCCAUUCUCCAAGUCACUAACACAAAUACUGAAUUGUAUGAGACCUAGGACAGACCCUGAAGAUACCUCCUGCCAGUUGGACAUUGAGCUACUGAUGACUAUUUUUUGAGCAUGAUGGUCUUUGGAGUUAUGAACUCACCUUACAGUAGUUUAAUUUAGACCAGGGAUGCCCAAAUCACCUGGGGACCAUAGGGCUCCUUGUGGGUAAGAUCCAGCCUGGGUCAUCCAGACAGCCACUGUGGGCAAUGCAGCAGUGGUGGGUCUGGCAGCAGUGACUGGUAAGGAGUUCAGGGGAGGGAGUCUACAUGCACAGUGGCAGUCGGGGGCCAGCAGUGUUAAGCUUAGUUUGCUGCUGACAACCCUGGCUAGCAGGGCCAAAGGGUCCACUGAUGGCCCAGCCGGCCAAACAGAGAGCCUUUGCGGGCUGGUUCUAGCCCAUGGGGCAUCUGACACUCCUCAUCUAGACUCUAUUUCCUUAGCUUACAUAUGAGAAUGGCAUGGGAGAUAGUGUCCAAAACUUGCUAAAAGCAAGGUAUAUUACAUCCGCUGCUCUCCCCCAUCCACAAAGGUCAACAACUUGGGCACCUAUACAUGUGCCCGAUACCUGCUCUGAUGUGUUCUAAUUACAACGCUCCAGCAGCCUCGCCGUCACAUAUUCAGCACCCCCGUGUUUCCAAACGGUGGUGGAAGCACUUAUAACUAAAAUUUGUCAAAUGAGCUUUAGUUAAAACCCCCCCGCCACCAUUUUGAAGCGCGAGAUGUGGAAUCCUUGUGAUGCUGAGGCUGCUGGGGUGUUCUGCUUAGAGCAGACUUCAUAGACUUUCAUAGACAUCAGACUUGAUUAAUUGAGUCUGAUCUGAUGCGUUCCAAUUAGACUUGUAAAGUUGGGGAGCACAUGUAAAGAUGCCCCUUGUCUAUAAGAACUAGGAAGAAAAUUCUGGAAGAGCAAGGAUCCAGGAGUCUGUGGAAAGUGGAUUUGCUGGAGGCUAGUAAUAUUUCCUUUGCCCUAGGGAUACUGAUGCUAGUUGAUAACCUGCAAAUCCUGUUGUAGAAGACAAGGGCUUUGGCCAGGAUUUUUUCACAAUAGCAUAAUAUGAAGCGAGUUUGCUUGAAAAUAUCAAUAUUAAAGACAACAAACACACAUUCAAAGGGCACAGGAGGCCCAAGAAAAGAACCAUUCUCUCUUUUCCGUGUGGUUACACAGUUCACUGGCUCAUGAAGAAUUUUAAAAAAUCAGCAACUUUUCACUGCAAGCCUAUGGCAAACAUCCACAAGAACCAUCUUAGAUGCCUUUCUAGGUAGGCUUGAUGAAUAGCAGGUUGCCAGGAACAGCACCCAUCUUGUUUUCUGAGAUAAUGCCACAAAUAUGCUGAAAACUUUUUCUGACUAAAAGGUAUACAAUUUUCUGACUCGUUUUACUUCUGGAUAAAUAAUGCUUUUAAAGAAAUAUUUCAACACAAACAUGAAUUCAGUAAUGCAAAUGCCAUUUUUAAAGCACUUUUCUGUUGCAGGGCUCCCCAUGAGUCUCUGUGCAAACUGGAGAUCUCAAUUGAUACCAAGAUGUAAUUCCAUGACUUGUGCAAUGGAAAACCUGGCAUAGAGCUAUGAUUUUUGAUGACUUCCUAAUCAAACUAAACAGAACUGCAAAGAGAGGCUCACAGAGUUUGCAAUUCAGGUUCUUUUAACUUGACUCUUCUGAGAAGGCAAGAAAAGUUCUUGAGAUGUCGAUGCAUCUGUUUUGGUGCCAGGUAUUUGGCUAUAAUAUCCAGUUCACUAUGGGAAUGUCAAAUUAAAACACAAAAGUCAUGGGAUAGAGAGGAGAGAGGGAAGCUCUUGUUGUCCAUCUGAGCAUUUUAACUGGUAUAUCUAAGGAAGGAAGAUGCCACAGUUUUCAUCUUUUAACCUUCUUCCCAACUCUGACAUUUUCCAAACCGGACUUUAUCUUCUGAGAGCUCUGUGCCUGUGAGAAGCUUGGCAUGGAUGCCAGCUGCUACCAAAGAACACAGAAAAGCUUUUUUGUGUUUGAACUGCAAUCUGUCCACACUUGAUUUUAAGCACUAAUGAGACUACUUGUAAUUCUACACCAUGUUUCUCAGAUUUUAACCUACUUUCUACUGUGCUUAAUUUGCUUAGGGUCUGUACAAGAUUACUGCAUGCAACUCAAGCACCUUUACCAAAUAUGAUUUAAUAUAGUUUUUAAAUGUUCUGCUGAUGUUUGUAAUCCAAGAAGUAUUUCUAUUGAAAUCUUAAAACAAUAUAAUUAAGAUGGGAUGUGAAUAUAUGACUCUUUUAGUAAAGGUAUUAAGUAAUGUCUUAUUUAGAUGUGUAUUUAUUUAGAUACUGAACUGAUAAAAGGUUGCCAAGUUGAAUCCACAGAAGUGGUAUACAAAAAAAGACUAAUUCUGAAUGUCCUAGUGUUAUACAAUGCACAGUGCUUUUUUUUUUUUAAGAUGUUAUGUUAAUAGAAUACAAUAGCAGUGGAUUCAACAGCAGAAGAUUCAACCUGAGAAAUAACUUAUAUUUUACUCUUCAAAGAGAUACAAAUGUUGGAAAGACAUUCUGAGAACCCAGUAUAGCUCAGAACAGGCACAGAAAAGAACACUGCACAAUUAAGAGUCUAAAUAUGAUCUAGGAGCCCACUCAUCUCUACACGCAUGGAUUUGGAAAUGUUGGCCUCUGCUUUUAAGUUUCUCCUUGGAACUUUAAAUAAGAUUUUGGGAAAUUCUCUCUACUAGCUGAAGACUUGCUGGAAGUACUCCAGACUCAUGGGAACUUCAGUAUGUGCAGUUCAAGGAUUACAACUGUUGUUGCGUUCUAUAGCCUUAUAUUUAGCAAAAUGAAGUAACUUAUAUUUUUACAUAGGUAUGGUCUGACCAAACUUCAUUUUGGGUAACAUAUUUAUUAGUGGGGUCUUUAAGAACAGAUGUUAAGUGGUUAAUUAAUUGUGAUUCUUUUAACAUGCCAAGUAAGUAAAAUACCCAUCACAACACAGAGCGGCAUUCAGUUAUUUCGAAAUUCUAAAAAUUUAAAGUUUUUUCCACUUAAACUUGCGUUUCUGGGCUUUGGCCUGAACUCUGAGUGGAAGUGCCAAAAUACCGCGAGAGCGUCUGUUGCUGCAGUAUGUCUGGCCCAACCAGAAGCAGGAAAUACUUGUGAGAGCCUGUCUCAAGAGAUUGCCAGCCAGUUUUGAGGUUUGCCUGUCGCUAUUUAUUAGAAGAAAGUGGAGAGCAGAGAAUGUAGCUGAGAGAGAGAAUUUGGAAGGCAUGUAAAAAUGGCCAACUAGAAAUGAUGGUAGACUUUUUUUUUUACACUGAAACAAGAA